rnacentral:rRNA from 1 species
AGUCGACGGGAAGACAUGAAGAGCUUGCUCUUUAUGAAAUCCAGUGGCAAACGGGUGAGUAACACGUAAACAACCUGCCUUCAGGAUGGGGACAACAGACGGAAACGACUGCUAAUACCGAAUACGAUUCUUGAGUCGCAUGACACAAGAAAGAAAGGGUGGCCUCUACUUGUAAGCUAUCGCCUGAAGAGGGGUUUGCGUCCGAUUAGGUAGUUGGUGAGGUAACGGCCCACCAAGCCGACGAUCGGUAGCCGGUCUGAGAGGAUGAACGGCCACAUUGGAACUGAGACACGGUCCAGACUCCUACGGGAGGCAGCAGUGGGGAAUCUUCCGCAAUGGGCGAAAGCCUGACGGAGCAACGCCGCGUGAGUGAAGACGGCCUUCGGGUUGUAAAACUCUGUGAUUCGGGACGAAAGAUAAGUAGACGAAUAAUCUGCAUAAGUGACGGUACCGAAAAAGCAAGCCACGGCUAACUACGUGCCAGCAGCCGCGGUAAUACGUAGGUGGCAAGCGUUGUCCGGAAUUAUUGGGCGUAAAGCGCGCGCAGGCGGCUACUUAAGUCCAUCUUAAAAGUGCGGGGCUUAACCCCGUGAUGGGAUGGAAACUGAGAAGCUGGAGUGUCGGAGAGGAAAGUGGAAUUCCUAGUGUAGCGGUGAAAUGCGUAGAGAUUAGGAAGAACACCGGUGGCGAAGGCGACUUUCUGGA